UACGGAGGGUGCGAGCGUUAAUCGGAAUUACUGGGCGUAAAGCGCGCGUAGGCGGUUUGUUAAGUCAGCUGUGAAAGCCCCGGGCUCAACCUGGGAACUGCAGUUGAUACUGGCCGACUAAAGUAUGAAAGAAGAAAAUAAAAUUCCAUGUGUAGCGGUGAAAUGCGUAGAUAUAUGGAGGAAUACCAGUGGCGAAGGCGGCCUCCUGGUUCAAUACUGACGCUGAGGUGCGAAAGCGUGGGGAUCAAACAGG
rnacentral:rRNA from 1 species